GAAUAUUAUAAUGCGUCAGAAGCAAUUAAUUGCUUUGUAAUUCGCGCGUCGUGCGAAGGAUUCGCCUAUAAUACGCAUUUUGCGUAAAUGGCAACGUUGGCCCGCCGUCGACGACUAUAUAAGACCGCGACGGGAAUUUCUCGAUCUCUUCUGUUUCGAACGACUGACGGAAGCAACAUCGGUGAAGGAACAUCACGCGACGCGACGUCCAGACGCAGAUUAUAAGGGAAGAUUCAACAUUCAUCGUCAGCAAAGAAGAUAAGUAAACCACAUUUUAUUAUUACAUUAUUAUCUCGGCAUUAUUAUUAUCUAAAAUGUAUCACUAUUUUGUUUUUUAUACUGUAAUAUAAACUGACGUGACAGCUAAGAAAUCUAUCGAAUUUCCACGUUUCGCCAAAAGUAUUCUAAUUUAUAACACACCGAUUCGUAAAAUGUAAUAAUACUAGCUAUAAUUUUGAAUAAAACGGUUCACUGUGGACAUUUAUGAAACAUAAGUCAGUUUAUAUUACAAGGUCAAGAACGAAGUCGAAAGAAACAUUUUCUAAUUUCACGAUUGCGAUUUGAAGGAAACAACAUAUCGAAGAAGAAAGGAUCCAACUUGCUUUUGCGACAAGGAAACAACAGGUUCUCCUCUCCAUCGGAAAAGCAACCGCUGGUGCAACGAACUUCCGCAACGGAAAUUGCGCAACUAUGAGACGGAAGAAGACCUUGAUACAUCGUCCGUGCGUGGGUCAGCUCCAACGGAUGUCAACAACCACAAGAUAUAUAUAUAUAUAUACUAAAUAUUAAUUGUAAUUAAUCUUUCAAAAAUAAAAAAUAUAUAAAAGAAA